GAUGAACGCUGGCGGCGUGCCUAAUACAUGCAAGUCGAGCGAACAGACGAGGAGCUUGCUUCACUGACGUUAACGGCGGACGGGUGAGUAACACGUGGAUACCCUACCUAUAAGACUGGGAUAACUUCGGGAAACCGGAGCUAAUACCGGAUAAUAUAUUGAACCGCAUGGUUCAAUAGUGAAAGACGGUUUUGCUGUCACUUAUAGAUGGUUCCGCGCCGCAUUAGCUAGUUGGUAAGGUAACGGCUUACCAAGGCAACGAUGCGUAGCCGACCUGAGAGGGGGAUCGGCCACACUGGAACUGAGACGCGGUCCAGACUCCUACGGGAGGCAGCAGUAGGGAAUCUUCCGCAAUGGGCGAAAGCCUGACGGAGCAACGCCGCGUGAGUGAUGAAGGUCUUCGGAUCGUAAAACUCUGUUAUUAGGGAAGAACAAAUGUGUAAGUAACUAUGCACGUCUUGACGGUACCUAAUCAGAAAGCCACGGCUAACUACGUG
rnacentral:rRNA from 1 species